rnacentral:rRNA from 1 species
GAUGAACGCUGGCGGCGUGCCUAAUACAUGCAAGUCGAGCGAACAGACGAGGAGCUUGCUCCUCUGAUGUUAGCGGCGGACGGGUGAGUAACACGUGUAUAACCUACCUAUAAGACUGGGAUAACUUCGGGAAACCGGAGCUAAUACCGGAUAACAUGUUGCACCGCAUGGUUCAACAGUGAAAGACGGUCUUGCUGUCACUUAUAGAUGGAUCCGCGCCGCAUUAGCUAGUUGGUAAGUUAACGGCUUACCAAGGCAACGAGGCGUAGCCGACCUGAGAGGGUGGUCGGCCACACUGGAACUGAGACACGGUCCAGGCUCCUACGGGAGGCAGCAGUAGGGAAUCUUCCGCAGUGGGCGAAAGCCUGACGGAGCAACGCCGCGUGAGUGAAGAAGGUCUUCGGAUCGUAAAGCUCUGUUAUUAGGGAAGAACAAAUGUGUAAGUAACUAUGCACGUCUUGACGGUACCUAGUCAGAAAGCCCCGGCUAACUACGUG